rnacentral:rRNA from 1 species
CGCAUCUAUAUACAACUUUCAACAACGGAUCUCUUGGCUCUCGCAUCGAUGAAGAACGCAGCGAAAUGCGAUAAGUAAUGUGAAUUGCAGAAUUCAGUGAAUCAUCGAAUCUUUGAACGCACCUUGCGCUCCUUGGUAUUCCGAGGAGCAUGCCUGUUUGAGUGUCAUGAAAUCUUCAACCUACAAGGUCUUUGUAAAGGCUUUUUAGGCUUGGACUUGGAGGCUUGUCGGUCUUUGUAGGUCGGCUCCUCUUAAACGCAUUAGCUUGAUUCCUUGCGGAUCGGUUUGUCGGUGUGAUAAUGUCUACCCCGCGACCGUGAAGCGUUUUGGCAAGCUUCUAACGGUCUCUGUAUGGAGACAAAGCUUAUGACCUCUGACCUCAAAUCAGGUAGGACUACCCGCUGAACUUAAGCAUAUCAAUAA